rnacentral:rRNA from 1 species
GACCUUUCGCGAUUGGAUGUACCUAGGUGGGAUUAGCUUGUUGGUGAGGUAAGAGCUCACCAAGGCGACGAUCCCUAGCUGUUCUGAGAGGAUGAUCAGCCACACUGGGACUGAGACACGGCCCAGACUCCUACGGGAGGCAGCAGUGGGGAAUAUUGCACAAUGGGCGAAAGCCUGAUGCAGCCAUGCCGCGUGUGUGAAGAAGGCCUUCGGGUUGUAAAGCACUUUCAGCGAGGAGGAAAGGUUAACGGUUAAUACCCGUUAGCUGUGACGUUACUCGCAGAAGAAGCACCGGCUAACUUCGUGCCAGCAGCCGCGGUAAUACGAGGGGUGCAAGCGUUAAUCGGAAUUACUGGGCGUAAAGCGUACGCAGGCGGUUUGUUAAGCGAGAUGU